CACGGGGAGGUAGUGACAAUAAAUACUGAUACAGGGCUCUUUUGGGUCUUGUAAUCGGAAUGAGUACAAUUUAAAUCCCUUAACGAGGAACAAUUGGAGGGCAAGUCUGGUGCCAGCAGCCGCGGUAAUUCCAGCUCCAAUAGCGUAUAUUAAAGUUGUUGUGGUUAAAAAGCUCGUAGUUGAACCUUGGGCCUGGCUGGCCGGUCCCCCUCACCGGGUGCACUGAUCCAGCCGGGCCUUUCCCUCUGUGGAACCCCAUGGCCUUCACUGGCUGUGGGGGGAAAACAGGACUUUUUUUUUAAAAAAAUUAGAGUGCUCCAGGCAGGCCUAUGCUCGAAUACAUUAGCAUGGAAAUAAUAGAAUAGGACGUGUGGUUCUAUUUUGUUGGUUUCUAGGACCGCCGUAAUGAUUAAUAGGGACAGUCGGGGGCAUCAGUAUUCAAUUGUCAGAGGUGAAAUUCUUGGAUCUAUUGAAGACUAACUACUGCGAAAGCAUUUGCCAAGGAUGUUUUCAUUGAUAAGGAACGAAAGUUAGGGGAUCGAAGACGAUCAGAUACCGUCGUAGUCUUAACUAUAAACUAUGCCGACUAGGGAUCGGACGAUGUUAUUCUUUGACGCGUUCGGCACCUUUCGAGAAAUCAAAGUGCUUGGGCUCCAGGGGAGUCUGCUCGUAG
rnacentral:rRNA from 1 species